rnacentral:rRNA from 1 species
GGGUGCGAUUAUAGCAGCACUAAAGAACAGGAUCCCAUCAGAACUCCGCAAUUAAACGUGCUUGGGGAGAGUAGUACUGGGAUGAGUGACCUCCUGGGAAGUCCUCGUGUUGCACCCC